rnacentral:ncRNA from 2 species
CAUCAUGCCUGUUACCAAGGUGCUGCCGUCCGGGCUUCGGGCGGCAGAGAAUUGGGAAGCCGGUCAAACUCCGGCGCUGCCCCCGCAACGGUAGGGCAGGGAAAGGGGCGCGAGGGCCACUGAACCGGAGGAGGUUCGGGAAGGCGCGUCCCCGCCGGCGGCACCCCGUGCCAAGGCCCCUGCCAAGCCCGGAAACCAGCCUCGGACCAGCCAAGCCG